rnacentral:rRNA from 1 species
GAUGAACGCUGGCGGCGUGCCUAAUACAUGCAAGUCGAGCGAACAGACGAGGAGCUUGCUCCUCUGACGUUAGCGGCGCCGGGUGAGUAACACGUGGAUAACCUACCUAUAAGACUGGGAUAACUUCGGGAAACCGGAGCUAAUACCGGAUAAUAUAUUGAACCGCAUGGUUCAAUAGUGAAAGAGGGUUUUGCUGUGACUUAUAGAUGGAUCCGCGCCGCAUUAGCUAGUUGGUAAGGUAACGGCUUACCAAGGCAACGAUGCGUAGCCGACCUGAGAGGGUGAGCAGCCACACUGGAACUGAGACACGGUCCAGACUCCUACGGGAGGCAGCAGUAGGGAAUCUUCCGCAAUGGGCGAAAGCCUGACGGAGCAACGCCGCGUGAGUGAUGAAGGUCUUCGGAUCGUAAAACUCUGUUAUUAGGGAAGAACAAAUGUGUAAGUAACUAUGCACGUCUUGACGGUACCUAAUCAGAAAGCCACGGCUAACUACGUG